AGUGAACGCUGGCGGUAUGCCUAACACAUGCAAGUCGAACGGCAGCACAGUAAGAGCUUGCUCUUACGGGUGGCGAGUGGCGGACGGGUGAGGAAUACAUCGGAAUCUACUUUUUCGUGGGGGAUAACGUAGGGAAACUUACGCUAAUACCGCAUACGACCUACGGGUGAAAGCAGGGGAUCUUCUGACCUUGCGCGAUUGAAUGAGCCGAUGUCGGAUUAGCUAGUUGGCGGGGUAAAGGCCCACCAAGGCGACGAUCCGUAGAUGGUCUGAGAGGAUGAUCAGCCACACUGGAACUGAGACACGGUCCAGACUCCUACGGGAGGCAGCAGUGGGGAAUAUUAGACAAUGGGGGAAAGCCUGAUACAGCCAUACCGCGUGGGUGAAGAAGGACUUCGGGUUGGAAAGCCAUUUUGUUGGGAAAGAAAAGCAGCAGGUUAAUACCCCGCUGUUCUGACGGUACCCAAAGAAUAAGCACCGGCUAACUUCGUG
rnacentral:rRNA from 1 species